rnacentral:lncRNA from 1 species
AUUAAGGAAGGGGUUUGGGUGAGAGGCUGGUCAGGUGUAUGAAUCAGCCCAGUUAAUAAAACACUACACGUGGCAUUUAAGUCUUAAUUCAGAAAAUAAAUAAUAAUUUAAUAAAUAAUAAUAAGUAGUAUGUGGUUGAAGAGGAGCUGAUAGUUUUAAUUAGGCUGUACUAACGUUACAGGCUGAAGUGUGUCUUAUUGUCCUGCAUGUUAAGUUAGUAGACACUGUCUAGCAGGAGAUCGUGCCCCCAUCAUCUGUUCAGACUUUGACAUUGAUAGAUAACGUCAAUUAUUUUCUGAAAUCAGGCUUUAACAGAGCACUUAUCGCUGUUUAGAAGUCAUUUAUAAAUCCCCAAAAGACUUCUAUCCAACUGGAACCAAAAUAUUCAAUAUACUGCACGAUUAAAAAGGUUUUUAACAACUUUCCGAAACUCUCCUUAAAACGAUUAACGGCCCAACCGUUAUGUUAGCCGGAAGUGACACAUUUUUUGCUGCGCAUUUUGUCAUAAAGAGCUGGGAAUUAAUUAAAAAUAUAAACACACAUUUAUGAAUCGUUAUAGGUCAAAACAUUAUAAAAUGUAUGUUUGUAUAUUGAACUGAUAAAAAAAAAAAAAAAAAAAAAAAUAAAAAAAAAGUUGAUGCGUCAUACAAGCCGAGCAAGACGAUAACGGCCGUGUUACUUCCGGCGACCAUCUUUCUCCGGUGGAGGGAAACAGUCGCAAGUUUGGAAAGGAGUCGACGUUUUUUUGUAACUUGUGCAGUCGACAGAAUAUCUUUGUUUUCACCUGGACAGAAGAUGCUUUGAAUUACCAGAGGCUUCCUAAAAUAGCGAAAUGUUCCUGUAACCAUGGAGACCCUGUGCAGAACAGCUUACAUCCUAGAAAGGAAACAGGAAACUGGCAUGUCUUUGAUCACAAAUGGACUUUGCUUUGA